UACGGAGGGUGCAAGCGUUAUCCGGAUUCACUGGGUUUAAAGGGUGCGUAGGAGGGCAGGUAAGUCAGUGGUGAAAUCUCCGAGCUUAACUCGGAAACUGCCGUUGAUACUAUCUGUCUUGAAUACCGUGGAGGUGAGCGGAAUAUGUCAUGUAGCGGUGAAAUGCUUAGAUAUGACAUAGAACACCAAUUGCGAAGGCAGCUCGCUACACGAAUAUUGACUCUGAGGCACGAAAGCGUGGGGAUCAAACAGG
rnacentral:rRNA from 1 species